GUCUAUGCUGUAAACGAUGUGCACUUGGUGUUGGGCCGAUUAGGUUCAGUGCCGUAGCUAACGCGAUAAGUGCACCGCCUGGGGAGUAUGCUAGCAAGGGUGAAACUCAAAGGAAUUGACGGGGGCACGCACAAGCGGUGGAUUAUGUGGUUUAAUUCGAUGAUACGCGAGAAACCUUACCAGGGUUUGACAUGUGCAGGAAUAAGCUAGAGAUAGUUUAGCCCGCAAGGGUCUGUACACAGGUGCUGCAUGGCUGUCGU
rnacentral:rRNA from 1 species